GCCGGGGUAGCUCAGGGGUAGAGCAACGCACUCGUAAUGCGUAGGUCGGGGGUUCAAAUCCCCCCCUCGGCUCCA
rnacentral:tRNA from 1 species